GUAACGGUGUCUUUAGACACCACCUUUUAUCUUUGAAACUUAUCCU
rfam:Picea glauca, whole genome shotgun sequence.